GAGGGAUCAUUACCGAGUUUACAACUCCCAAACCCAAUGUGAACGUUACCAAACUGUUGCCUCGGCGGGGUCACGCCCCGGGUGCGUAAAAGCCCCGGAACCAGGCGCCCGCCGGAGGAACCAACCAAACUCUUUCUGUAGUCCCCUCGCGGACGUAUUUCUUACAGCUCUGAGCAAAAAUUCAAAAUGAAUCAAAACUUUCAACAACGGAUCUCUUGGUUCUGGCAUCGAUGAAGAACGCAGCGAAAUGCGAUAAGUAAUGUGAAUUGCAGAAUUCAGUGAAUCAUCGAAUCUUUGAGCGCACAUUGCGCCCGCCAGUAUUCUGGCGGGCAUGCCUGUCCGAGCGUCAUUUCAACCCUCGAACCCCUCCGGGGGAUCGGCGUUGGGGAUCGGGACCCCUCACCGGGUGCCGGCCCUGAAAUACAGUGGCGGUCUCGCCGCAGCCUCUCCUGCGCAGUAGUUUGCACAACUCGCACCGGGAGCGCGGCGCGUCCACGUCCGUAAAACACCCAACUUCUGAAAUGUUGACCUCGGAUCAGGUAGGAAUACCCGCUGAACUUAAGCAUAUCAAUAAGCGGAGGAA
rnacentral:rRNA from 1 species